UACAGAGGUCUCAAGCGUUGUUCGGAUUCAUUGGGCGUAAAGGGUGCGUAGGCGGCGCGGUAAGUCGGGUGUGAAAUCUCGGAGCUUAACUCCGAGACUGCAUUCGAUACUGCCGUGCUUGAGGACUGGAGAGGAGACUGGAAUUUACGGUGUAGCGGUGAAAUGCGUAGAUAUCGUAAGGAAGACCAGUGGCGAAGGCGACUUACUGGACUGUAACUGACGCUGAGGCAUGAAGGCCAGGGGAGCAAACGGG
rnacentral:rRNA from 1 species